CUGAUGCUGCGUAAAUUCAUCCAGAAUGAUUUCCAGCCUGAAUUGGGCCGGGACUGUGUGUUUUGUGUCUGUGUGUCGAAAGCAACUACCUGAUGCACCCACCCACCUCCUUUUUUCGGGUUGCCAAUGAACUGAUGGCUUUACCAUGUUGCUCUAAAGGCAUUCAACACACACCCGUUUGCGUACGUGGACGUGCACACGAGGUGCACCCAAGACCGUGGAAAGAAUGUGAGCCACUUUGAUCCAAACACGCACACGGGAACACAAAAACGUUGGCGCGAGUGAGCCAAACUUCUUUUUUAUUUUAUUUAUUUAUAAAGCUCUGACUUCCCCCAAGGGAGCUGCUGGAAUGGAGGAAGCGAGAAGACGGCAGGAAAUCAAAUGAAGCGGCUACACAAGCGCAGAGGUGAAAUACGCGCGUCCAGGGAUUGUCGUUUAUUCAAUAAACAGAGGCGGAAGCUAUGGGCACGAGCUGUGAGGUCGUUACCAAGAGAACAAGAUCCCGGAUACAAGCGACCAAAAUGAGUUUCCUCCGCAGGGUGUCCGGACUCUGCCUUAGAGGAAGAUAGAAAUUUCAGUGGUUAACAGCCUUUCAACCUGUUCCGAAGACCCAGACGGCAGCUAAAAAAUAUGAAAUCAUCUCUUUUGCCAAAGGAAACAUAAGUACUAAUCAUGAAUUAACUUCCUGUAAAUUUAAUUAAAUUUGAUUAAUUAAAUUAAACUAAUUAA